ACUCAGUUGGUAGAGUACAAAGCUCUUAACCUUAUGGACGUGGGUUCAAGCCCCAU
rnacentral:tRNA from 2 species